rnacentral:rRNA from 1 species
UACGUAGGGGGCAAGCGUUGUCCGGAUUCAUUGGGCGUAAAGAGCGUGUAGGCGGCCAGGUAGGUCGGUUGUGAAAACUGGAGGCUCAACCUUCAGAGGUCGACCGAAACCAUCUGGCUAGAGUCCGGGAGAGGAGAGUGGAAUUCCUGGUGUAGCGGUGAAAUGCGCAGAUAUCAGGAAGAACACCCGUGGCGAAAGCGGCUCUCUGGAACGGUACUGACGCUGAGACGCGAAAGCGUGGGGUGCGAACAGG